rnacentral:rRNA from 1 species
CAGCGCCACAAGUGGGCAUCGCGAUUAUUGGGCCUAAAGCGUUCGUAGCCGGUUUAGUAAAUCUUUUGUGAGAUUGUUCGGCUCAACCGAACAGCGUGCAGGAGACACUGCUAAACUCGAGACCGGGAGGGGUUAGAGGUAUUCCAUGGGGACCGGUAAAAUGGGAUAAUCCAUGGAGGACCACCGAUGGCGAAGGCAUCUAACCAGAACGGAUCUGACGGUGAGGAACGAAAGCCAGGGGAGCGAACCGGAUUAGAUACCCGAGUAGUCC